UAAAUGAAAAACCAAAAAGAACCUAUGUU
rnacentral:piRNA from 1 species